UGACCAAAACAGUGAUUGAAAUACUCAAUGACGAAGUUUAACAUCUUACUUCCUGUUUUUUACUGGAAUUUUUUUACUUGGGCAUUUGUACUUGCUUCAAACUCUAUUUUGUGCAGGACUGAAGGAAAACUGUCCCCGGCAGGGAUGCUUGGCAGUUGGGGACUGCCCAUGGAGGCUGGUUCAUCCAGCUGGGCCAUGUGCCAUUGGAAUGGGAUGCCCUGGGACACCACUGUGAGUAAAGCGACCCCUUCCUACUCCCUACAGAGCCCUAAGUCUGCUUUGUUUAUUAUUCCUGGAGCCUGUGCUUAGCUGUUUCCCGCUCCUGUCCAUCAGAACUGGUGUUUUCCUAAAGUGAAGGCAUACCCGCGUAGGACGCUGAUCCUUGGAGGAAUUCCAGUUCUGCUCAGGAAUUGCAGCAGACUGGCAGCCAGUGGCACGGAGUGCUAUCUGAAUGCUGCAAAGGAGCAUGAUGUUACAGCUCCUCUUGGGAAGGUCCUGACAGGGCAUGUGGUUGGAGCAGCCGCCUGCGUGCCUCAGGCAGACUGAAGCAGGCCAAGAAUGAAAGGGGGCGGCACAGGGCGGCCAGCAGCCAGUCACCUGAGAAAGAAGGAAUUCAACCUGGAAUAAUCCCUCACCCUCUUCACUUGGGUGCAUCUCUCGCCACCCCGCCCAGAUGCUCUGUGCCCUCCAGGAGCUCCAAAGGCCUGAAUGUCAGAGGAAAGAUCCAAGCAAAUAUAUAGAGUCACCCCCAGCAAGUGGCUUCAUGGGACAUCUGGACCUGGGAUAAGCUUGGACAGCCACACCUUCUCUUGUUCUGGUAGCUUCCUCUGUCGAGUCCUCAGCUAUCCCUCCACACAUCCUCAUCCUCCUUUUCCUUUGGCCUCUCGCCAGAUGUAGUUCUCUGGGCUGUGCCAUCACCUCACCGUCUUUGGUUACUGUUUUGAAGGGGUCAGGUUGUUCUUGCUGUCUUCUUUAAUUUUUGUUUUGGACCCUUCUUCAUGACCUAGUACUUCCUUUGCUGCCUCACUAGAUCUUUUCCUUGUUUCACCAUCAGUCAUAGCACAGUCCCUCACCCUCAUGUCCAUUCCUCCUUGUUCCUUUGACCACAGUCAUUGCCCUAGAAACUACUAUAACCCUGAGUUAAAUUUAUAAAAUAGGAAAUGUCAUCGUUCCCAUAUACUGAUCCCUCCAUUCUCUAAUAGUCUUUUUCUGAAUGGGGGAGGGAGGAGUUCCCCUUGACCAAGUAUUGGGAGCUUGGAAAGGACACAUGGGCCUCUUCCUUUCUCCUGUUUCUAGCUGAACAUGAUAGUUGUUUAUUUAAAAACUUCCUCUGAUUACAGGUCAUGCGAGGGAUUAAGAGGUCCUUUAACAAAGAACCACUGAGCACUGACAUGUGUGUGAAACUGUGGAUACCUAGGAUUUGCCAAGAGAGCUCAAGCAGCAUUUGGAAUUCUGGGGCUUUUGAGCACAGAGGUGGAAUGCUCACAUACUCACUCUGCCCAAGGAUGGCUGAAGUAGAAGGAAGCAGAUGGCCAGAGUGGGGGGCAGGAGGGCAGAGCUGAGUUGGAACCAGCAAACUCCCCGUGUCCACCAUGGCCUCUGGAGAGAAGAGCGCCCUCCCAGGGGUCCAGGGCCUCAUGGGUGGGGCCGGUGGGGCAAGUCCCACCAUCACCCCUGCCCUUGCACAGUCUCACCUCCUCUGACUGCGCCUCACUCUGGAGUCAGAGCAGCUUGCAUGUGUCAUCAAAGCCCCAGAACGGGAGACUCCACCAAACCACUCCCUCGCUCUCAUCCCCUCCUGCUGAAAACUGUAAUCUUGCAGGCAGACAAUGAAGAUAGGACAACUAUUCAGAAAAGCUCGUGGCUUUGGAGACUCAGGACAUGUCCCAACUGCACCUGCAGGUUUUCUUUUCCUGGGCCGAUGGGCACUGGCUGCGCUGCACCUGCCGCAGGCCAGCGCCUUGCCUUUCAGUCACAUACCUUGAGCUGGGCGUGCAGGCCCUGGCCUGCUCCACAUCCUGCUCUGCCCGUGAUGAUAUCUUCUGCGCUCCUCCAGCUUCUCAGCAGGCCCGCACAGCCAGGCUGUUGCUCUUAAAUCCGCCAUUUGGUUUUCUGUAAUUAUAUGUAAACGGAGAGAAAAGCAACACACCCUUAUCUCUCCUACUUGGCUGUUUUCUUUUCUUCUUCUUUUAAGUGUUUUUACUGAUUUUAGAGAGAGAGGGAAACAUAGAUGAGAAAUAUCAAUCCAUUGCCUACUGUCUGCCCCCUACUGGGGAUCAAGCCUGAAACCUGGGCAUGAGUCCUGACUGGGAUUUGAACUGGUGACCUCUCAGGGCAUGGGAAGAUGCUCAACAAACUUAACCACACUGGACACAGCUUAGCUGUUUUCUUUUUAAAAAUUCAUGGCAUAAAACUUUGCCCCUACUUAGUUAAUCUUUUCUUUAUUUCACAUCCUCUUGACCUUCUUUUCUCUCCUGGUUCUCCUUUUCCUCCUCUUCUACCCACUUCCCGUCUCCUCCUCCUCCUCCUCCUCCUCCUCCUCCUCCUCCUCCUCCUCCUCCUCCCCACCCAAGACAAUAGCACAUCUGGCAUCUUAGAUUGUGUGCUCCUUGCAUGGAGGGAUUAUGUCUUUUUUUGCAUAUUGCUCUUGUCAUUUACUAUAUAGCCUGCAGAUGUUGGAUGUUUUGGCAUGUGCACAACAUACAUAAAUCCACACACGAUGAUUUUUAGGGUUCUUGGAAAUAAAAAGGGUGAGCCCA